rnacentral:lncRNA from 1 species
UAGACCCAGUCCCUGCAGCAAGAUGCUCAGCUAGCAGAGCUGACUUCCUGCCACAAAGUAGUGUGGCCUCACAGUCGUCUUCUGAAGGCAAGCUGGCUACAAAAGGUGACAGCUCGGAGAGGGAGAGAAGGGAGCAAAAUUUACCUGCACGAGCCCUCUUGAAAUUAACAAUGGAAAUAAAACCAAUCAGUCAGUUAGCCUAAACCUAUUGAUUCCUCGUGAUUAUUUCCAAUGUGAAAACAGUUGUGUAUGAUUGCAUUAAAAAUCAUAUCAUCUUUUAGAGGUUAGAAAAGGGAAAACUAAACUUUCUAAAUGCUACUUGAGAUUGCAGUAAGAAGAUACGUUUUCUAACCUGAAAGUUAAAUCGCAUUUGUUUUCUUCAGUAGAAUGGGAAUGUGUUGCUGUUACUUGUAAUGUCAAGUUUAUCUGUUAAAUAUGUCCAAAAGGCAAAAUCAUUUUUGUUGCAUGUUAUGGGUCGAUGUUCCUGUAAUUGCAGUGCCGUAAAAGCUUAUUAAAGUUGUUCUUUUGGUUUUACAUGGUAUAA